rnacentral:rRNA from 1 species
AGUGAACGCUGGCGGCAUGCCUAACACAUGCAAGUCGAACGGCAGCACGGUAAGAGCUAGCUGUUACGGGUGGCGAGAGGCGGACGGGAGAGAAAUAAAUCGGAAUCGACGUGGGGGAGGGGGCGGACGUAGGGGGACUAAUACUACUACCGAAUAAGACCUGAGGGUGGAAGCAGGGGAGCUUUGGCGCUUGCGGGUUUGACGAUGCCGAUGUCGGAUUAGCUAGUUGGAGGGGUAAAGGCCGACCAAGGCGACGAUCAGUAGCUGGUCUGAGAGGAUGACCAGCCACACUGGAACUGAGACACGGCCCAGACUCCUACGGGAGGCAGCAGUGGGGAAUAUUGGACAAUGGGCGAAAGCCUGAUCCAGCCAUACCGCGUGUGUGAAGAAGGCCUUCGGGUUGUAAAGCCCUUUUGUUGGGAAAGAAAAGCAUCGCGCUAAUACCCUCGUGUUCUGACGGUACCCAAAGAAUAAGCACCGGCUAACUUCGUG